UUCCUGGUGGUAGAGUGGCUAAGACUCCACACUCCCAAUGUAGGGGCCUGGGUUAAAUCCCUGGUCAGGGAA
rnacentral:tRNA from 1 species